GGGAUUAUAGUUCAGUGGUAGAGCACUUGCCUCACGUGCAUGAGGCCCUGUGUUCAAUCCUCAGUACCA
rnacentral:tRNA from 1 species